rnacentral:lncRNA from 1 species
UCAGAAGGAUGCAUGUAAAGAGGACUACUAACAUCAACAGUUGGUUGAUUAAUAUUUUUAGUCACAGUGGGUGCAAGUCGCUCAGUGUUCUCGUUGUUAGCCAUUUCUUACAGUGCAAAAUUCAAAAUGAGAUUCAAUCAACUCAGAAUUUUGGAAACAGAAAUGAGGAUUCAGAGAAGUUCGAGAGGAAAGCUUUUGUAGUCGAUGAAAAAUAGGGUCUUGUGUGCACUCGAUUAAGAAAGCGAAAAACAAAAUGAAAUACUACGAGCUUGGAUUCAACAGAUCUGAGAAAUGGAUCGAAAAUUCUGACCUUUGCUUUAAUACCAUAUCAAAAUUGUAGCAAUGGAACAGUAAUCUCCACACUAGCUCAGCUUGGAGUGUAUCUACAGUGAUGGAGGAUCUUCAGAUCUGUGAUCUCGAGUUAGCACAGC